rnacentral:rRNA from 1 species
AGUGAACGCUGGCAGUAGGCCUAACACAUGCAAGUCGAACGGCAGCACAGUAAGAGCUUGCUCUUACGGGUGGCGAGUGGCGGACGGGUGAGGAAUACAUCGGAAUCUACUUUUUCGUGGGGGAUAACGUAGGGAAACUUACGCUAAUACCGCAUACGACCUACGGGUGAAAGCAGGGGAUCUUCGGACCUUGCGCGAUUGAAUGAGCCGAUGUCGGAUUAGCUAGUUGGCGGGGUAAAGGCCCACCAAGGCGACGAUCCGUAGCUGGUCUGAGAGGAUGAUCAGCCACACUGGAACUGAGACACGGUCCAGACUCCUACGGGAGGCAGCAGUGGGGAAUAUUGGACAAUGGGCGCAAGCCUGAUCCAGCCAUACCGCGUGGGUGAAGAAGGCCUUCGGGUUGUAAAGCCCUUUUGUUGGGAAAGAAAAGCAGCAGGUUAAUACCCCGCUGUUCUGACGGUACCCAAAGAAUAAGCACCGGCUAACCUCGUG